rnacentral:rRNA from 1 species
CACGAAGGGGGCUAGCGUUGCUCGGAAUCACUGGGCGUAAAGCGCACGUAGGCGGAUUGCUAAGUCAGGGGUGAAAUCCUGGAGCUCAACUCCAGAACUGCCCUUGAUACUGGCGGUCUCGAGUCCGGGAGAGGUGAGUGGAACUGCGAGUGUAGAGGUGAAAUUCGUAGAUAUUCGCAAGAACACCAGUGGCGAAGGCGGCUCACUGGCCCGGUACUGACGCUGAGGUGCGAAAGCGUGGGGAGCAAACAGG